UCCAGACUCCUACGGGAGGCAGCAGUGGGGAAUAUUGCACAAUGGGGGGAACCCUGAUGCAGCAAUGCCGCGUGAAGGAUGAAGGUUUUCGGAUUGUAAACUUCUUUUGUACGGGACGAAGAAAGUGACGGUACCGUAAGAAUAGGCCACGGCUAACUACGUGCCAGCAGCCGCGGUAAUACGUAGGUGGCAAGCGUUAUCCGGAUUUACUGGGUGUAAAGGGCGAGUAGGCGGGAUUGCAAGUCAGAUGUGAAAACUAUGGGCUCAACCUGGAGACUGCACUUGAAACUGGGUAUCUUGAGGGCAGGAGAGGAAAGUGGAAUUCCUAGUGUAGCGGUGAAAUGCGUAGAUAUUAGGAGGAACACCAGUGGCGAAGGCGACUUUCUGGACUGUACCUGACGCUGAGGCGCGAAAGCGUGGGUAGCGAACGGGAUUAGAUACCCCUGUA
rnacentral:rRNA from 1 species